rnacentral:rRNA from 1 species
CAGCAGCCGCGGUAAUACGAAGGGUGCAAGCGUUACUCGGAAUUACUGGGCGUAAAGCGUGCGUAGGUGGUGGUUUAAGUCCGUUGUGAAAGCCCUGGGCUCAACCUGGGAAUUGCAGUGGAUACUGGGUCACUAGAGUGUGGUAGAGGAUAGUGGAAUUUCCGGUGUAGCAGUGAAAUGCGUAGAGAUCGGAAGGAACAUCUGUGGCGAAGGCGACUAUCUGGGCCAACACUGACACUGAGGCACGAAAGCGUGGGAAGCAAACAGGAUUUGAGACCCCUGUAGUCCCUGUCUCUUAUAC